rnacentral:rRNA from 1 species
UACGUAGGGGGCAAGCGUUGUUCGGAAUUACUGGGCGUAAAGCGCGCGUAGGCGGUUUGAAAAGUCAGAUGUGAAAGCCCCGGGCUCAACUUGGGAACUGCAUUUGAUACUGUCAGACUAGAGUACAGAAGAGGUGACUGGAAUUCCCAGUGUAGCGGUGAAAUGCGUAGAUAUUGGGAGGAACACCAGAUGCGAAGGCGGGUCACUGGGCUGAUACUGACGCUGAUGCGCGAAAGCCAGGGGAGCGAACGGG